GGGGCUGUAGCUCAGUUGGUAGAGCACUUGUUUGGCAUGCAUGAAGUUUGAGUUCAGUCUCU
rnacentral:tRNA from 1 species